rnacentral:rRNA from 1 species
GUUAUAGGGUCAAGUGACUAAGUGCAUGUGGUGGAUGCCUUGGCGAUUACAGGCGAUGAAGGACGUGAUAGCCUGCGAAAAGCUUCGGGGAGCUGGCAAAUUAGCUUUGAUCCGGAGAUAUCCGAAUGGGGAAACCCACCCUUAGGGGUAUCGCAUACUGAAUACAUAGGUAUGCGAGGCGAACCGAGUGAACUGAAACAUCUAAGUAGCUCGAGGAAAAGACAUCAACCGAGAUUCCGAAAGUAGUGGCGAGCGAAAUCGGAAGAGCCUAGUCUUCUUUAGCAUUGAACUUAUCAAAACAGCUUGGAAACGCUGGCCAUAGUGGGUGAUAGCCCCGUAUGAGAAAAGUUUUUUGUGGAACUAAGUAGACGAUAAGUAGGGCGGGACACGAGAAAUCCUGUCUGAAGAUGGGGGGACCAUCCUCCAAGGCUAAAUACUCGUAAUCGACCGAUAGUGAACAAGUACCGUGAGGGAAAGGCAAAAAGAACCCCGGGAGGGGAGUGAAAUAGAUCCUGAAACCGCAUGCAUACAAAAAGUCGGAGCCUGGAAACGGGUGACGGCGUACCUUUUGUAU